rnacentral:pre_miRNA from 1 species
UAGUUUGUUUGGGUCAGACCCUUACAUAGUAGUGUCAAAUCAUCUCCUGAAUGCUCGAAACCUCUUAUUUCUACAAGCUCGGCUACAUCACCCAUUAUUAUGAUCCAAGUAACGGGUUUUAAAAAUUAA